UAGACAUAAAUGUCGACUCAAAUCUAAUUACUGUAACAAUGUUUUAUUAACACAAUCGAAUACUACACUAUAUGGAUUUUUUUCUAAAGAAUAGUUAUAUUUUUCUGGCUUUUUUAAAGUCUUUAUAAUGCUGACAUGUAUGCACACAUUGCUCUGACUGCUGGCAUCAUAGCGACCAUCUUGAUAAUAACAGGAACAUUCACUCCUUUUUGGACAGUAAUAUCCGGUUCGGCUUGGUCACAAUCUUUUGACUCAUCAUGGACAAAUAUUUCUAUGACCUCAUUAGGACUAGGACUUUGGUUCCAACAAAUGUGCACAGCUGAUGGCUGUGUGACCUCAUUAUAUUCAUCAGACAUGUACAACGUACAUGUAAUGGACAUGACUGGGUUAACAGAGUUCCGAAUGUAUACCAGUUGUGGAAUCCUUUUGAGCAUGUCUGCAUGUAUCCUGUGUUUUCUUCAUAUCAAGGAAAAGAGUCCAAAACUGACAGGAUUUGCAGCUUCGUUGAUGUUCCUUUUUUCAGGCAUAAUGAUAUGGUUACCAGCUGGAAAGAUGAUACACAGAUAUGUUCUGUUUGAUACCAAUCUUGACGAGGUUGGUAUACCAGAUAAUCCUCUUCAGUUCCCGUAUUCCGCCAUCAUCUGUGGUGUUGGUGGCAUUAUGAACGGUUUUUGUAUAUUUCUUGUGGCAGGCAGUGUUCGAAAGAUAUGGAACUACACGUCCGAAUUUAGGCAUAAGAGAUUGGAGCUAAAUACAUUUAUUUAAAUUGCAGACAAUUUAAUUGUAUAACAAAUUACAGAUCCCAAGCAAGAAUGAAUUAAUGGCAUAGAGAAAACUUCUCGAGUUUAUAUUAUGCCGUGUUGAAUACGUUUGGUUAUGGGAUUAAAUUUAUAUCGUUUACUGAUAACAGUUGCUAUUUGUGUUUUAAGUACAUUUUUUUAAAGUAUAUUUUGUAUAUAUAUUUAAAACAUCAUAGAACUUAAUGAUAUUUUACUUUUUAUUAUUAUUUUUUUUGUCCUUUUUUCUUUGCUUUGCUUUGUGUUGUUUUGUGUUGUUUCGUUUGUUUUUUGUUAUUUUGUUGGGGUUUUCUUUUGGGGGGCCUGGGGGGAUCACAGGUUAUGUAAUAAGGACAACAACAAUCCAACUGCAUAAAAAUAAAAAUUCAGAUGAAAAGUGUUUAUGCUACUUACUUCUAUGCUACUUACUUCUAGCUGUCAAAACAGUCUUACGUCGAAACAUAUUGUAAAAAAAUCAAAUUAAUGACCAAAAACAGUAAGAUAUAAUCACAAUAGUUAAAAUAUACAAGCAUCGGGGUAAAAUUAAUUUUGAUCCAAAAUUAACCCAUAUGUUAGGGAUGGUCAGUUGAAAAACGAAGAUAUAAAGAAAAAUCAAAGUACAGCUAACUGUUGAUAAGUACUGUACUUGUCUCUGUAAAAUCUAAUUACUCAACAUAAAGGUAGAGUAAAACUAUAUUAAACACCAAAAUCAAUGGAUAUCUGCUGUAACUGAAAGCUACAUCACAGUACUUUAUCAUGCUCGUAUAAAAGUUAUGCAUUCUUAAACUGUAAUAUCGGUGGCUGGUAAAUUUCGUUCAGUAACACCGUGACUUGUGUAAAAAAAACAUGGCUUUGUGCAGUUCCAGAAGAUAAUUAAUAUGAUUAGUUAUCUAUUUUACCGUUUGCUGUUACAAACUCAGAAAAGUCAUGCAUCACACUAAAUUAUCAAGAAAACAUCCAUUUAUACAAAAAUGUAUCUUUAUGACCAUUUUUAGCAGUUUAUUCGAUUGCAGACAUUUCCAUUAAAUAUAGAAUUUUAACGAAAUGACAAUAUGGCGACCUCUGACAUUUUCAUAAGUUAUACAGAUGUUUUUACUAGAUCUAUACGGUUAAAGUAAGAAUUUUAUAAAAUUUGUAAUACAAAUGGAAGACUAUUUAUUUAUUCAUAUUCAACUUAUUAUCCAUAAGGCCAUCCUAUAUGAAUCCGAGUUUCAGUAUAGGGACUAUAUUAAAAAACAUAGUAGUCAAACGUGAAUGGAAAUGAUAUGAUGAGCAUACACUGUUGCCAUCUAUAAGUUUACUUAGUACAACCCUUACGGGCAAUACAUCGUUCAGGUGUCAACGUAUAUUUGUUCUGCCUAACAGAAGUUCCACUGGAAACUUUGUUAUAAACAAUGUCAUAAUAUAUGUUCCUGUUGGAACAAAUAUUCUAUACCAUUUAUUCCGUUAGGAACAUUUACUGUAAUAUUUAUUCCAGUGGAAAUAAUAUUCCAGA